rnacentral:lncRNA from 1 species
UCCUACAUAAAACACCAUAAUUAUAUAUUAAAUUGAGGUUUUAUGGGGGUCAUAUUAUAUACUAUAUAAAUGGGGCAUUGUGGCUUGUAAAAAGUAGAGUGUGAAGAGAAAAAGAAACACCUUUCAUCUAUACUACUUUGAGCUCUUGUUGUGUGUCGGGUGUAAGCUUCUACUUCACUCGAACGUGCAAUUUCGGUGAAGUUACAGCGGAGAGAUAGGCUGGGCUG